UACGGAGGGUGCGAGCGUUGUCCGGAAUCAUUGGGCGUAAAGGGCGCGUAGGUGGCCCAGUCAGUUCGUGGUGAAAGCGCGGGGCUCAACUCCGCGUCGGCCAUGAAUACUGCUGGGCUUGAGCACUGUAGAGGCAGGCGGAAUUCCGGGUGUAGCGGUGGAAUGCGUAGAGAUCCGGAAGAACACCGGUGGCGAAGGCGGCCUGCUGGGCAGUAGCUGACACUGAGGCGCGACAGCGUGGGGAGCAAACAGG
rnacentral:rRNA from 1 species